CAAUAUAAUUGGGUCUGAGAAUGAGGCAGAAUGAACUUUUACUAUACCUAAAAAGAAAAAAUAAGGAAUUGAUUUUCUUGCCUUUCUUUUCACUUUCCAAAUAGCUCUAUAAUAGCCUGAUUUUGAUAUAUACUGAAUACUCAUUUAGAGAUAACGAGGUGACUCCAUGAGAUCUUGGUCUCUCUUUGAGUAUCUGGGACCUAGUUAUCCCACAGUGUGUAGCAGAGACAGGAUCCCCACAUGGGAGCUCUCGGAGCUUGGCAGCUCGUAGGUGAUAAGUGAAGCAUGGGUGGAGAUGAAAUCCCUGCUCAGGUGGAACUUGUCAAAGGAGAAUUAAAGAAAAUUAAGAACAGAGAUUCAAGGAGCUUGCACUGAAGGAUGCACAAAAGAGCAAGCCAAAAAGUCGACAGAAAGGAAAAAGCAGAGGGCCGGGAGGAAUUCUGGGAGAGUGUCGGGUCCCAGAAGAGAAGGAGGACAUCUCACAAAAGAAAUGGAAGUCAGAGAUGCCUGCUAUACACUCUUACGAUGCCUCAUUGCGAUGACUCAUAAAACACGAGUGCCUAUCGAAGAGCCUACAGCAUGAAAAGUGUUUCAGUAACACAUCGGUAAAAUUCCACCUUGUGGCUCCCAAGGGUGGUACUCCCAUACCGUGAGGCCUUGACCACAGAAGCAAAGCGAUAGACUCUUCAAAGCAGCUCUGUGUGACUUUUAAAGGUUCAAAAUAGGCUGUGAAUGUGUAGCUUAAACUAUGUCAUUGGAUGGCGAGGUGUAUAAAAUGAUUGAGAGAACGGUCGGGAAUAUCUAACGGUGAAAAUAGAUGUGGCAUUUUAGCAUUCUCUUUGUAGAAUCUUCAUCAGACUCUCCUGUUUGGCUGCCGUACAUGAGUGUCAGUGCAGAGGAUAUAGAACAGUUAGUGUGCUUUUUACAUUUACUUUGUUAGGUGGAGGAAACUGGCCCCCUCUUUCUUCAACACUCAUGAGUGCAUCGCCUUGGUCUUUUCCAUUGGCUCGUCUUUUGCGGUGCAACGUUUAUGCCCCACUGCUCCCCAAGGUGCAUUUCCUUGUUUUCUUACUGUUCAGCUGGCCCUUUGUGGGUGAUGUCAGCCAUUCUCACGGAUCACGUCUUGUGAAUAAACAAAGUGCUCCAGAUCAAUAAUUCCAGCUCCGUCUUCUCUUUGGAGUCUUGAGUCUGCAUUUUCUUUUCUAAUCUUUGCUCAGAGCUGUUCUGAGUCCACCUGACAUGUAAUUUGCCCCAAAUUACCUUCAGGAUGACUGUCUUCCCUUCCCUCCUCCUCCUCCUCCUCCUCCUCCUCCUCCUCCUCCAGUAGUCUCUACAUUAAUUCAAGGUAUCAACAUCUGUCCGUUGUCAAAGCCAAAAAAAGUAAAAUCUAGAAUCGUUUUUCAUCCCCUGCAAACAUUUGCCGUGACCGAGAGAAGGGAGCGUCCAAUUCCGAGCCCAUGGUGCCUGCCUCGGUCAGCGAUGCCAAGUCAAACCCGGCUAUUGUGCAAUCUGGAUGCGAGUAGGAAGCCAGUGCCAAUGUCAUGCAGCAGGAUAGAAAAUCUUCGUGGCUGGGAAGGCUCCCAGGUUCCUGCAGAGAAAGUUCAUUCUGGGCUGGGGAUCCCUGUGGCAGCUGGGACGAGAUGGGUGCCCAGGAGGAGCAUAUCCAUGAGAGAAUCGUCUCCCGAAAACAGCCAAACGAGAGGCUCGCAGAAGAUCUGGACGGGGCUGUCACGGAAGCGAUCUCCGUAGAUACUGGGUUAGUGCUUGCACUCCUCUCUUUGGACCAGGUGGUACCAAAGGCACCACACGCUGCGUGGCUGUUUGCUCUCCUGCCGGCUGCCAGAGUCUAUAGAAAAGCUGCUGUGUUUGUGGGGGCGUGUGCCCGGGUCUCUGUACCAUAUGUACAAGCCAUGUGUUGGCGCUAGCUCCUAAGAACUCAGCCAUUCCAGAGAUUACUUCUAGUGCACGAAAAGAGCACACACACAAAAAGGAAAAACACCCAAACCCUCCCAAUUUCUACAUUCUGGCGCAAAAAAAAAAUUUGUCGGGGACCGACGGGGACCAGUACGGGAAUUUGGCCUCAAGCUCAAAAUGCGAUUCCCCGAGUUGAAGUGUGAGAAGGUGCAGUCUGCCAUUUAGAGCAGAGAUUUCCGUACCAACCUAGACCAGAACUGCGGCCUAACGCAGGUCAACGCCUCCGAUCUGAUCUUCUGCCCUCGUUUGUGUGGGUGUAUUCGCCUGGUCUGUUAGCGCCUGCGCCCAUGGGUCCUCUGGCUGGUAGCUCUUUCUCCCCAAGAGCUUAUGCCUCCUGUGUAUAUUCCUACAACUUCAGAGUUAGAUUGUUAAUAUGUUUGGAUGACGGGAGGGACUUUGAGGAGUCUUACAAAACCUUAAAAUAGCAGAGCUUUCAGAAAUAAUGCCGAGAAACUCAGUAGCGUAUAGGUGUCUCUUGAUAACGUCCAUCUAUAAUCAAUUAAUUAAAAAAAAAUGUGUCCGUGGGGACAGUCCUAAAUUAGGCCAGUCCAUUAGUAACCAGGUUGCACUUGGGAAGUCGGUAGCUGCUUUGCCUAUCUGGUUAGUAUUGAAUAAGCCCCUCAGGUUCCUGGGGCCCCCUUGUUGGGGAUGGAGAGGGGGAGACACGAUGUAGGGUUUAAUUCAGAAAAGCAUUUAAUUGGAAGUUUUGUGUCUGAAACCUGACUCCCUUGUUUGAGUCAAAACUCUAAUACUUUUAGGGGCGCCCAGGUGGCUCAGUCAGUUAAGCAUCUGACUU